rnacentral:rRNA from 1 species
CCGCCAAUUGGAUGUACUAAGCCAUGCGAGUCUUUUGUGGUAAUACAAGGCAGACGGCUCAGUAACGCGUACCCCAUCUACCCUAUGGACGGUGAUAACCACGGGAAACUGAGACCCCUUACCGAUAGAACAUUAUGCCUGGAAUGGUUUAUGUUCCAAGUGAUUUAUCGCCGUAGGAUGGGACUGCGGCCCAUCAGUUUGUUGGUGAGGUAAUGGCCCACCAAGACUAUUACAGGUACAGGCUCUGAGAGGAGUGGCCCGGAGAUGGGUACUGAGACACGGACCCAGGCCCUAUGGGGCGCAACAGGCAAGAAAACUUUUGCAAUGUGCGAAAGCACUACAAGGUUAAUCCAAGUGGUUUCUGCUAAAGAGACCUUUUGUCGGUCCUAAAAACACCGAUGAAUAAGGGGUGGGCAAGUUCUGGUGUCACCCGCCCCAGUAAAACCAGCACAUCACGUGGUCAGGAUGAUUACUGCCGCCAAAGCAAACGUAACCACGCAUUGUUAGUUAUCGGUUAAAUCAGCACACACAACGUACAGGCUGCCGGAAAUACUGUCAAACUCGGGAUGGGGAGAGGUAGACGCGUCUCCGUAGCUACGGGAUAAAAUCCUCUUCUUUAUUGAUGUACCCGAUGUGGCCAAGUGCGGCCCCCAC